AAAUUUAUCAGAGAAAUUCUCUGAUAGAAGGAAAGGACUUCUAUUUGACUCCAUCUCUUUCACCAGGAUCGACAACUGCAUUAGAUUUGACUUUUGAUACUACUUCGAGUAGUUCGUCAGGAAAGAUAUGAUUUUCAAAUCUGAUGUGGACGAAGAAGACAUGAAUUGGGGCCAACUACUUUGUUUAACACCAAAAUUCUGAGCAAAAACGAAGAAAUGGUUUAAAUAAAUAUAAAGGAUCUGAGGCUUUGAGCAUGGUUUUUCCUUUUUCGUUCAGCAGAGCAGAUGAUUAGACGAAAACGACAAGCCGUAAACGCGGCCAAUUCCAAUUUUUUAUAUGUGGCGUUGUCAACUCAUCUAAUUUACGCCACUUUUUUCUUAAAAACUGAAAAAAUGUAUAAAAAAGACACAAAAUAACUGAAAAAAACUGUGAAAAACCUGCAAAAGUGAUAAAAACCUACAAAAACUUGCAAACCUGCAAGAUAAAAAAGAAAACUUGUCCAGACCCUCAAAAACCUGCAGAACAGGUUAAAACCUGCAAAGUGGCAACACUGCUUCGUGUAGACUGCAUGACACAGUGAUGUCAGAUUAGUUCAAUCACCGAUAACCAAGAUUUAUCAAGCCAAACAUGUGUAAAUAGGACACAUCUUGACGUUACAGUAAUCCACGGCUGUUUCAUAAACAAUAAAUCAAAUAAAUGGAUUACCAAAUUUGGAAAAGACAUUGUUUGUAAAUAUUUUCGCUUUGACUUUGGUGAUACAUGCAAUGCUGUUGCGAUGAACGACACAAAGAAGUCCAUGCUUAACGGCACAACUAUUGGCGCCACAAAAUGUGUGUUGUGCCAACGUGUUACCCGGAGGCGUUGCAAUGCCAAUUGACGUGGUUUGUUUAUCGUCUUGUUGAACAAGUUUACCCGCCCAUAUCCGUGCCAUCCGAAUAAUUACUCAUCUUUCAAUGACGAAAUGUUCCGGCUCGUUGACUGAUUGAGGAAUGUUAUAAACCUCAACUCUUUCAAGGCCGAUUGAACAGUUUUUUCUCACGCUGAUUCACUUGGUUUGAAUUCUUUUCCAGUCGUCGACGAAUUCUUCACCACUUCUUCAAUUUCAUAGAUUUCGAGGGAGCUCUUCUCUUCUGGGAUGUUUGACCUUCGGAACAGGUAUGGUGCGAUAAAAACUUGUUUUUUUAAGUCUUUUUGUGUUCGUUAAAGGAGUCUGGUUUGAUGGCACAAGACGUCCAGUCUACGUGGAUGGAAGUUCCCCCUUUUUUUGGAGGUUUUACCUCCCUUUCCGGGACACGUAACUUGCUUGUUAUCUCGAAGCCAUUUUAUUUUCAUUAACUCGGUUAAUUGCUUCUUGGCGGCCAAAACAGGUUUAUUUUGUUUCUUUCCUUGUUGAGUCUUAUUAAUUUAUUUCUGUUUGAGUCAUGCCCACCUGUCACUGCGCCAUCUAGGAAAUUUUGAACUUGACAAUUUACGCAAUUAAAAUGGAACCGCUAUCAAAAAUUGCGGUCAUUAGGCUAGUGUUUCACGCCUCCGUUACACAGACUGCAAAAUGCAUGUAUAAUAAUCACGAUGGACGGGGGCCCUGUACAUACGGCCAGCUAGUAUCUAUCCUCAGUCAUUAAACCACAUAAACAUAACGGUGAUGCCGUAAGAAAUCAAAAAAACCAAUAUGCUGGAUACUAUGCAUAUUAUUUUGUCGGCUGCAAGGGAAUGAAGAAAACAAAAAAUUAUGCGUUUGCAGGGUACGGAAGAGCAGUGAUGACUGAGCCAGCAAGAUGGCCACAACGUUAACAACGACGUGCUUAUCCCUCUAUUUCCUAAUAGUUUACGUUUGCCCCUUCCUGACUGCAGCAUCAGUGAACGGGAUUUGGGAUAAAAGCGGUGGAUACAAGACAAGUCGCGGUACGCUGAAUAAUCCCGUACUGAUUUACAUCAGUACUCCAGAUAAUCAUCUUGGAGACACCAACGAUCUGUUCAAUCAAAUCGAUUAUCAAUCACUGCUGGCGGAGGCGGCCAUAAGUGAACUCCCCCUACCGCAAACGACAGUACCGCCACCUUUGGAGCUCAAUCCUACGCACAUCAAUUUCCUUGUUCGUUUUUUCCGUUCCUUCUCGGCUAUACCUGCAAUUUUUCGCCCUCGACGACUUCGCUGCCAUAUCUCACCGACGGUGGCCCUGUUUGAUGAUUUGAAUUGUUUCAUGAGUUUAAAGAAAAGAAUUAAAACAUAAUUACGAUGGCUUUGCUGUUAAAACACCAGCUCCAGUGGCGCAGUUGGUUAGCGCAUGGUACUUAUAGGACAGUAUUCAUGUUAAUAGGAGAAAAAAGCUGCACAAAACAUCGCAGAAGUUGAAACGUAUAAGAAAUGCCGAGGUCGCGAGUUCGAGCCUCGCCUGGAGCAAAAA